GGUAAAGAGUCAUAGGAGGUAGAGCACUGUUUAGGACUAGGGGCCCUUCUCGGGUUACCGAAUUCAGAUAAACUCCGAAUGCCAUGUACUUAUACUCGGGAGUCAGACUGCGAGUGAUAAGAUCCGUAGUCGAAAGGGAAACAGCCCAGACCACCAGUUAAGGUCCCCAAAUAUAUGUUAAGUGGAAAAGGAUGUGGGGUUGCUUAGACAACCAGGAUGUUGGCUUAGAAGCAGCCACCAUUGAAAGAGUGCGUAA
rnacentral:rRNA from 1 species